UUUGGAGCUUUCAAGUUGUCAAAACAUGGUUUUCUAAUGCUCAAGUUUACUCCUUCAGCUAGUGUACAACAAUAGGAUUUGAGCAAGAAACAGGAGAUGAACUGGAUCAUGCAGGGGUAACUAAAACCACAAGCAAGAACUUGACAUUCAUCAAUGCUUAUCUACUGAAUAACGUAUAGGGGAAAGCUCAGAGGAUAUGGAGAAGGCAGUGGGAAUUGCUUUGAAUGAGACCCUAUGUUCUUGGAGGGCGAGAAAGAGCAAACCAAUGCAGCAGCUCCUUCGUUAGUCCAUCUCAAUUGCAGUACUUAUGAUGUUUUGUGCGACUAUGUUUAAACAUAUGAUUUUGAAUGAUGAACUACUUUGUAAAAUUACAGUUAUGUAUCUUUUAAUGAUCUAUAGAAGGACACAUGCUUUUAACAAA